UCCAAUUUGUUUGCGUUUAUAGCACGAUGUUGUUAAGCGUUUACUUUAUUGUUACUUUUGUGCUGCCAGCUUGCGCUUACGGCGUUGCAUUCUAGAGAUGGACGAUAUGUUUUCUGUUAAUUGGGCAGUGCUAAGUGUUGACUAAAUGCCGUUAGGUGGCAACAAAAAGUGUUGAAUGGUUAUUAAAUUCUGUGAAUAUCUAACGAUAUGGUAACGCCACCUUAUCGAUUAUUUUGCCAACCAGCUAGCAAAAUUCGUGUCGCAUAUUUUCAAAUUUUAUGCGCUACGGAAAAUGAUACAGAUGGACAAUUUCUAUGACGACAUGCGUCAAUUCCAGCUUAUCGUAACGUACGGGUCGGACGACAAAUUGGUUGACCAUAUACCGGUGGGCUUCUCUCUCUCUCUCUCUCUCUCGGACACUCCCAGUAUGAUAUAUAACACAGCAAAUAGAAAAUUUCAAUUCCUUUAGUAUUCAAUGUACACAAGUUUCUUGUAAAAUAGGUAAAGACAAUAAAAUGAUCCCAAGAAUACAACUAGCGACUACUUAAUAAUAUAUAUAUAUAUAUAC
rnacentral:sRNA from 1 species